rnacentral:piRNA from 1 species
UGAUUUGUUUGUGUGUCAAGUUGA